rnacentral:rRNA from 2 species
CGAGAAACCUUGCGAUGUGCGCAAGCACGACAAGGUUAAUCCGAGUGUUUCCUGCUAAAGGAAUCUUUUGUUAGUCCUAGAGACACUGGUGAAUAAGGGGUGGGCAAGUUCUGGUGUCAGCCGCCGCGGUAAAACCAGCACCUCAAGUGGUCAGGAUGAUUAUUGGGCCUAAAGCAUCCGUAGCCUGCUUUGUAAGUUUCCGGUUAAAUCCAUUCGCUCAACUGGAUGGGCUGCCGGAAAAACUGCAAAGCUAGGGAGUGGGAGAGGUAGACGGUACUCGGUAGGAAGGGGUAAAUCCUUUGAUCUAUUGAUGACCACCUGUGGCGAAGGCGGUCUACCAGAACACGUCCGACGGUGAGGGAUGAAACGCUGGGGGAGCAAACCGGAUUAGAUACCCCGGGUAGUCCCAGCUGUAAACUAUGCAAACUCAGCGAUGCAUUGGCUUGAUGCCAAUGCAGUGCUGC